GUCCACUUCAGCAGCAUAUGUACUAAGAUUGGAAAGAUAAAGAAAAGAUUAGCAUGUUCCCUGCAGAGGGAUGACAUGCAAGUUCAUGAAGUGUUCCAUAUUUUG
ensembl:snRNA U6 U6 spliceosomal RNA